GAGAAAAGCAGUCAUUGUUCCUGAAAUGGAAAUGAAAGUCCUCACUUCUGAAGCUGACACUGCCACUUAUGUGUGAGUGGGCUUUGGGAAGUCCAUUGUCUCUCUGAGGCCUUGUUUUCUUCUAUGGUGAAGUGCCAGGGUCAAAGUGGACAGCUUUGAGCCCAGAAGUCUGUUACGUGGAGAAUGGUUGCAGAAACAACACAGCAAAGGGAAAGAUAAAACAUGAUGAAUUCUGGGCAGUUCAGAGCACCCUAUUCAGCUGGGAUGCCUUGAAUUUCAGUGGCAGCUUUCUCUGAAGGCAUGUGCUUUUCUUCAGAGGACUAGGAUUAUUGAUUCUUCAAGGAAGUGGUUGACAUUCAAUUUUAC
rnacentral:lncRNA from 1 species